AUUGCAGGCNGCAACUCGCCUGCAUGAAGGCGGAAUUGCUGUAAUCGCGAAUCAGAAUGUCGCGGUGAAUACGUUCCCGGGCCUUGUACACACCGCCCGUCACACCAUGAGAGUUGGCAACACCCGAAGUCGGUAGUCUAACCGCAAGGAGGACGCCGCCGAAGGUGGGGUUGAUGAUUAGGGUUAAGUCGUAACAAGGUAAC
rnacentral:rRNA from 1 species